ensembl:lncRNA
GCCAGCGUGAGUUCCACUGGAGCGAAACUGAGGCUGAGCUGGGUCGCAGGCAGCACAGCUAGUGAGAGGCGGAAUCACAGUCUCCAGCCCCGUGAGCAAGUCGAGAGAGACCAGCGGGGGCGAGGUCUUGUCUUCCUUCGCUGGCCUCCUGGAGUGACCUGAAGCUGCAGGAAAAGGCAUUCAAUGCCUUAAUGGCCCUCUGGGUUCCAGAGAGAGAGAGGUCUCAGAUCUUGCAGAAGGUCCAACUAACU